rnacentral:lncRNA from 1 species
GCCUUCGAGAAUCUUCGGUGCGCCAAGUCUGUUCGCCGCCGGGGUCUAUCACCCCCGCCCCUCGCCUCUGCCCCAGCUGGCUUGGCUUUUUCAGAGGAAACAGAGACUCUCAGACAUGAAUACUGUGACACUGACCACCAGGCCAACUUAACAUCAGCAGAUAUCCUGUCUCAGAUGAAGAGAAUGGCCUGUCCAGAAGACAGCCAAAUACAUCCUUCAAACAGACUUCACUGCAGGAGACAGAGUGGAUUCAUCCUGUAUUCUCCAUGUAGACUUCCAUCUUCAUGAGUACUCCAAGAAGAUGGUUCAGUUGACUAUUGCAAAGGUAAAAAUCCAAGAGAUACAGAUACAGAAUAGGACAGAGAGACAUAUUUUUAAGCUAUUGAUUACAAUUAUGGUAUGCCUAUAGAUUGCAGAACCGAGGAGAAAGGGAACAUUAUGAUUUACCAUCAAGAAAAACUUGGAAUUGGUGCUGAGUAGUUCAUUCUAAGAAUUAUCAUUUAUCUGUAUUUGCCCCCAUUUUCAUUGUUACUAGGCC